rnacentral:rRNA from 1 species
UACGAAGGGGGCUAGCGUUGCUCGGAAUCACUGGGCGUAAAGGGCUCGUAGGCGGCCAACUAAGUCGGACGUGAAAUCCCCAGGCUCAACCUGGGAACUGCGUCCGAUACUGGAUGGCUUGAAUUCGGGAGAGGGAUGCAGAAUUCCAGGUGUAGUGGUGAAAUGCGUAGAUAUCGGGAGGAACACCAGUGGCGAAGGCGGCUUCCUGGCCUGUUCUUGACGCUGAGGCGCGAAAGCGUGGGGAGCAAACAGG